rnacentral:rRNA from 1 species
UACGUAGGGUGCGAGCGUUGUCCGGAAUUAUUGGGCGUAAAGAGCUCGUAGGCGGUUUGUCGCGUCUGCCGUGAAAGUCCGGGGCUCAACUCCGGAUCUGCGGUGGGUACGGGCAGACUAGAGUGAUGUAGGGGAGACUGGAAUUCCUGGUGUAGCGGUGAAAUGCGCAGAUAUCAGGAGGAACACCGGUGGCGAAGGCGGGUCUCUGGGCCGUAACUGACGCUGAGGCGCGAAAGCCAGGGGAGCAAACGGG